GGAUGUGAGGGCGAUCUGGCUGCCACCUCUGUCACCCCAUUGAUCGCCAGGGUUGAUUCAGCUGAUCCGACUGGCUAGGCAGGUGUCCCCCUCCUCCCUCACCGAUCCAUGUGCGUCCCUCCCAAAGCUGUGGUCCAAGGGUGAAGAGGACGACCUUCCCCCCAGAGAAGAGGACUGGUCUUAGGUCGAGGGAGGGUAUACAGUAGCUGUGCUCCCCUGCUAGAACCUCCAAACAAGCUCUCAAGAGUACAGCCAGCUGUGGCUCAGGGGAGCCUGGUGUGGCCCCAGCCUCCAUUUCUUCAACAGGAGGUGGAAACCACUGUUUCUGU
ensembl:misc_RNA 7SK 7SK RNA